ensembl:lncRNA
GUUUCGAAAAGCUUCGUUUCUCCCAUCCCUAGUUACAAAUAUUGAUUUACCUUUAAAUCUAAAAGCGUUAAAUGGCGUAAUCUUUGCUCCGCUUUUUCGUUAUAGUCUUCUUGAUCUCAUUGUGCGUUUUGGCACUACGCAGAUUGCCGCGCUUCAUGCAAGUGCAUACACGUCACAAUGCUACAAUCUCGUGUGCUCUCGCGAGAUUACGCCUCCAGGUCGUGGAAAGUUCCAGACAAUACAGCUCGGAAGUCUAUAUUCAUCAAUCGUUGUUUCAGCGUUGGAGCGACAACUGACAUUAUUUCAACCAUAUUUCAAUGUUGGUUGGUCGUGUGCCGGCUGGGAACGUACACGGACUGGAACACGGACCUACAUGAUUACACUCUGGCCUAGUAUGGACAACUGUUAUGGGCCCUCUCCCAUUUUGCAUCCGGUCCUCUUGACAAUGGCACCCACAGUUACCCAGCAGACAGACCUGUGCUGAAAAAAAAAAAAAUUCUACCUCUCUCUUGUCCAGUUUUCCACCCUUUCAGCCCUUCUUUCUGGAAAAAGGGAGUAAAUUGAGCUUGGAGAUGAUUCCUGAACCAGUGGCUGCUCUGUGCUCUCCAUUUUUUGCUUCAGGAACAACAUUGGAGUUGUGGUGACAACAGUGGAAUAUCUAUCCUGAAAACACUCCUUGAUACUAGUUCUGAUACAAAGUUGUGUUAUCCGGGUUUACAGAAAUGGUAUUGAAUGCAUAAAUAGAUCCAUUAAGCUAAUAAUGAUCACUCACUAAUGAAGUCAUGGUGGUAGUUGUGGAAGUAGCCAAUGCACUGUUCAGCCAAUGAUAUAUGAGGGAGUGGAAUACUCAUCUCCAUCAGUCCCGCCAUGGCUCCACUAAUAGGAUUAAGGCCUGGAACUAUAGGGAAUGUGAGAAUUUGUCUGAGCACACAACACACACACACACAUCAUACUCUAAGCCAGCAGAAAGAUGCACAUUCAAAAUGACACUGACUGAAACAAAAGCCCAUAUAAUUAUUCUCACUAAGAGUGUCAAGUUCUCUUGUUAUUUAAUUAUAAUACAAUGAAGGAGAAUAACAAUAUUUCAUUAAAAUUUCAUUCUAACCCAAAAGGCAUAUUUGUGAAGCAAAGUAACACCUCAUACUAUUUUUUGCCAGUUAUUAGACUUGGCACAUUAAACAUUUUAGGUAUAAGCAUAUGUAGCUGAGUUGCAUGUUUUAAAAAAAAAUAAAGAAUUAAAAAGUACUCAGGAAAUAACAUUUGACCAACUCAUUGCUGUGUAAUGUACUGUAUUGUAGAGAUUUAAUAAUAUGUAAUAAUAUGUAUAAAUGUAAUAAUGUUAUACUAUAUCUGAAGGUAUAAGCUAAUAUAAAAAGAUUAAAUAGAUUUACCAGUUAAAAUUAU